rnacentral:ncRNA from 1 species
GCUUGGCAUGGUGUUUCCAAUCUCACCAACUUAUCUACCCAACAAAUUGCAAAUUAGAUGGUCACACAUACAACGCUAGUUGAACAUACUUGCAUGCAUAACCAAUGCACAAUCGUAGGGGAAUAAUGUGCUUUUUAUUAGCUAUGUGCUGCUAGGCUAGGCCAUUGAGUCCUGCACUUUAGAUGGUGAGAGUCCAAUAGCCAAAAGUAUCAUUGGAUUAUGCUUUAACUUGAGUAGCAUGGGGCACUUGGAAUCCCAUGUGAAUAAGCAAGGACCACCUUGUAAGGCCGAUAGCGAAGUAGUACCAUGAGGGUAGGUUGAAAAGAACCCCCAUUGGGGAGUAA